rfam:Phytophthora nicotianae strain race 0 contig4276, whole genome shotgun sequence.
AUAGCUCAGUGGUCGAGCGCUCGCUUGAAAAGCGUGAGGUCCGUGGUUCGAUACCACCU